GCUUUUGUAGCUUAUUAUAAAGCGAGAGGCUUUUAACUUCUUGAUGCAGUAGUGCCAAAAGUAC
rnacentral:tRNA from 1 species